rnacentral:rRNA from 1 species
GCAGCCGCGGUAAUACGGAGGAUGCGAGCGUUAUCCGGAUUUAUUGGGUUUAAAGGGUGCGUAGGCGGGCUGUUAAGUCAGCGGUGAAAGGCGGCGGCUCAACCGUCGGACUGCCGUUGAAACUGGCGGCCUUGAGUGCGUUUGAAGUGGGCGGAAUGUGCGGUGUAGCGGUGAAAUGCAUAGAUAUCGCACAGAACGCCGAUUGCGAAGGCAGCCCACUAAGCCGCAACUGACGCUGAGGCACGAAAGCGCGGGGAUCGAACAGGAUUAGAUACCCC